GGCUCAGAACGAACGCGGGCGGCGUGCCUAACACAUGCAAGUCGAACGUGAAAGUCCUUCGGGAUGAGUAAAGUGGCGCACGGGUGAGUAAUGCGUAGAUAAUCUGCCUGGUGAUCUGGGAUAACAUCUCGAAAGGGGUGCUAAUACCGGAUAAGCCCACGGGCUCUUCGGAGCUUGCGGGAAAAGGGGGGGACCUUCGGGCCUUCUGUCAUCAGAUGAGUCUACGUACCAUUAGCUAGUUGGUAGGGUAAAGGCCUACCAAGGCUACGAUGGUUAGCUGGUCUGAGAGGAUGAUCAGCCACACUGGAACUGAGACACGGUCCAGACUCCUACGGGAGGCAGCAGUGGGGAAUUUUGCGCAAUGGGGGAAACCCUGACGCAGCAACGCCGCGUGAGUGAUGAAGGCCUUCGGGUCGUAAAGCUCUGUCAGAGGGAAAGAAAUGUGGGGCGCUAAUACCGCUACCACUUGACGGUACCCUCAAAGGAAGCACCGGCUAACUCCGUGCCAGCAGCCGCGGUAAUACGGAGGGUGCGAGCGUUGUUCGGAAUUAUUGGGCGUAAAGCGCGUGUAGGCGGUUUUAUAAGUCUGAUGUGAAAGCCCUGGGCUCAACCUGGGAAGUGCAUUGGAUACUGUAAGACUUGAGUACGGGAGAGGGCAGUGGAAUUCCUAGUGUAGGAGUGAAAUCCGUAGAUAUUAGGAGGAACACCGGUGGCGAAGGCGGCUGCCUGGACCGAUACUGACGCUGAGACGCGAAAGCGUGGGUAGCAAACAGGAUUAGAUACCCUGGUAGUCCACGCCGUAAACGAUGAGUACUAGGUGUUGCGGGUAUUGACCCCUGCAGUGCCGCAGCUAACGCAUUAAGUACUCCGCCUGGAAGUACGGUCG
rnacentral:rRNA from 1 species